rnacentral:misc_RNA from 1 species
ACGAGAUCCCUUUUUUGAUCUUCUCACCCUGUUGUGUAUUCUGAAAAAUUAUCUUUAGAUCCCUCCACCACAAAGAGUCCUUAUUACUGCAUAAUGUAUAAUAUAUUAUUAAGAUAAACAAAAACAGUACAAGUGGUACUGAAUGAAAAGAUAAUACAAACCACCUUUAAUCCCCAAACCACCUUCCUCCUUAGGUAAGCAAAUAGCUUCCCAUUUUACC